rnacentral:rRNA from 1 species
AGAGUUUGAUCCUGGCUCAGAUCGAACGCUGGCGGCAGGCCUAACACAUGCAAGUCGAGCGGAUGAAGGGAGCUUGCUCCUGGAUUCAGCGGCGGACGGGUGAGUAAUGCCUAGGAAUCUGCCUGGUAGUGGGGGAUAACGUCCGGAAACGGGCGCUAAUACCGCAUACGUCCUGAGGGAGAAAGUGGGGGAUCUUCGGACCUCACGCUAUCAGAUGAGCCUAGGUCGGAUUAGCUAGUUGGUGGGGUAAAGGCCUACCAAGGCGACGAUCCGUAACUGGUCUGAGAGGAUGAUCAGUCACACUGGAACUGAGACACGGUCCAGACUCCUACGGGAGGCAGCAGUGGGGAAUAUUGGACAAUGGGCGAAAGCCUGAUCCAGCCAUGCCGCGUGUGUGAAGAAGGUCUUCGGAUUGUAAAGCACUUUAAGUUGGGAGGAAGGGCAGUAAGUUAAUACCUUGCUGUUUUGACGUUACCAACAGAAUAAGCACCGGCUAACUUCGUGCCAGCAGCCGCGGUAAUACGAAGGGUGCAAGCGUUAAUCGGAAUUACUGGGCGUAAAGCGCGCGUAGGUGGUUCAGCAAGUUGGAUGUGAAAUCCCCGGGCUCAACCUGGGAACUGCAUCCAAAACUACUGAGCUAGAGUACGGUAGAGGGUGGUGGAAUUUCCUGUGUAGCGGUGAAAUGCGUAGAUAUAGGAAGGAACACCAGUGGCGAAAGCGACCACCUGGACUGAUACUGACACUUGAGUGCGAAAGCGUGGGGAGCAAACAGGAUUUAGAUACCCUGGUAGUCCACGCCGUAAACGAUGUCGACUAGCCGUUGGGAUCCUUGAGAUCUUAGUGGCGCAGCUANCGCGAUAAGUCGACCGCCUGGGGAGUACGGCCGCAGGUUAAAACUCAAAUGAAUUGACGGGGGCCCGCACAAGCGGUGGAGCAUGUGGUUUAAUUCGAAGCAACGCGAAGAACCUUACCUGGCCUUGACAUGCUGAGAACUUUCCAGAGAUGGAUUGGUGCCUUCGGGAACUCAGACACAGGUGCUGCAUGGCUGUCGUCAGCUCGUGUCGUGAGAUGUUGGGUUAAGUCCCGUAACGAGCGCAACCCUUGUCCUUAGUUACCAGCACCUCGGGUGGGCACUCUAAGGAGACUGCCGGUGACAAACCGGAGGAAGGUGGGGAUGACGUCAAGUCAUCAUGGCCCUUACGGCCAGGGCUACACACGUGCUACAAUGGUCGGUACAAAGGGUUGCCAAGCCGCGAGGUGGAGCUAAUCCCAUAAAACCGAUCGUAGUCCGGAUCGCAGUCUGCAACUCGACUGCGUGAAGUCGGAAUCGCUAGUAAUCGUGAAUCAGAAUGUCACGGUGAAUACGUUCCCGGGCCUUGUACACACCGCCCGUCACACCAUGGGAGUGGGUUGCUCCAGAAGUAGCUAGUCUAACCGCAAGGGGGACGGUUACCACGGAGUGAUUCAUGACUGGGGUGAAGUCGUAACAAGG